AGAUAUUCUGAAGUCUCAUCUCCUGGUUUCUGAGUCUGCUACGAGCUGCUUAAGACAGGAGAAAACCAUGAAAGAGGAAGCACAGUUACAGAGAAAAGGAAAAGCCUGUGAAAUUGACAAUGAAAGGACUUUUGACACAGUGCUGAUAACUGGAUUUUCCCACUGCUACACAGUUUGAGAGCAACACAGCUUCUUCCCUCAACUCCCUUCUUCAACCUGCCCUUGUUCUCUCAAGGCCCUGUCAAAGAAGACGAUGACCAGCAGUACUGAUAACACUCUUGCUAAAACAGAUUAAUGACCAUAAAUCUGUCUUAAGCUAGGGCCUGAAAGAACUGAUAGCAGACCCCUGGUUCAAUAGCAGAGGGCCGGUUGAACUUGUGCCUAAAAGGCGGACUGCAACUGUGCAUCAACCAUCUUACUGCUGUAACUAGCGAGCAGCCCAAGAGCCCCUUUUGAGCUCUCCUGCACAGCAGCUGGAUGCAAGACAGGAUAUCUCCCCUUGAGCAGGGAUGCCUCUCAAGGUUACACCUGUGCAGAGAUCCCUUACACCUUGAUGUCAAGAUGCCUUGCUGAUACAGAUCCUCAGUAAGUGACUAAUAAUUUGUUUUAGGCUUUGUUAACCUUACUAAGAUCACACCUUUGAUUGUAAGAUUUGUUAGGGUCAUUAAGAUUUAUCUUAGAUUGAUUGUGCACGUUUGAUCCCUUGGACAUAAACCACUGACCAAGUCUGGUACUAGGAGUGGAUUCAGCCAUAUUAGGCUCCUUACCUCCGUAGAUUAAGGACUUUAGAAAGCAAGCGGGUCCACUCUCAAACUCACAACUCAACAUGAGGGCCUCCUGUGUGUGUUUGACCCUACUCUCUGUGCACUAAAUAACUUUAUCCAGCUAACUUAUCCAUCUUUAUCUCAAAUCUUGUUAAGUUACUGCCUUAUUUACAAGCUUCAUUGUAUCACUGUGCUUAUAUCCAUAUUAUAUCAAUAAAUAUGUUCUAGCUUCUCUCCUAUGAGCAUCGUAUAGUGUAGUUGUUUUCCAUCCGUAACAAUUUAACAGAUAUUCUUAAGUGAACAAACAAACAAAAAAGGCUAAAAAAGAAAAAAAGAAAAAAGUUAAAGUCAGCACAACUAAAAUUUCAAUUCAGAGAGCUUUGUUAAAAACAAAAAUAUUCCAGAAUAAAUAAUAAAUUUCCCUCAUCAUGGGGGAAAUGUCACUAUAGUCUUGUUAUAGAAACAGUAGUGUGGACACAAUCUGUCAGUCUGACAUAGCUACUCAUCUGUAACCACUGAAUGAUCCUCUGAAAUCAGCUACUUCACAGUGAAAUGUGUAUGAUACAGACUGGGCAGAAGCCUCAAUAAAUGGUUCUGAAUAUGAGGAAGAAGUCACUGUGUGUAUAUGUGUAACACAGUUGAUUUCUUGCUUCACGGAACUGAAUAAUCUGGAAAAAUGCAUUGUGUCAGGAGAGAGACUAAAAAGAAACAGGAAAAGUGAUUCUAUUUGCUACGUGUGCCAUGUAUAAUGUCAUAUAAAUAUCAAGUCUUUUUUUUUUUUAAUGUCUAAUAGUAAUUUGCUCUGGAUUUCUGGCUGAGCAGGCACUUUUUCUCUGACUGCUGAAAUAUUGUGGUGAUAUUUAAAUUUUCUGGUUUGUAGCGGGAAAAACUAUAGCACAAUGACUUUAUGGAAGCUAUAAAAUAGUUUUCAUUUCUUUCUUUUGAAAAGACUGUUCAUCAUUAAAUAUCUUCCUAGCACUUUACAGCAGAAAUCUCAGGACAUGAAACAUAAGGAUUUAAGAUGGUAUUUCUGUGCUGUUGAAAGUCUUUGUAAAAGUGCAGGUGUAAGAAAAGUUUGAUCUGUGAUUAGCCUAACCAGUCACAUUUGUCUGCUAGCUUUAAAGCUUCUUUUAAUCACAGGAUAUACAGCCUUUGAUGUGCAUGGAUACCUUUCAUCCCUUUUCCAAAAUUCUCUUCUCUGCCUUCCUCACAUGCCAAGAACAAAAUUCUCAUGCUA